rnacentral:rRNA from 1 species
UACGAAGGGGGCUAGCGUUGCUCGGAAUCACUGGGCGUAAAGCGCACGUAGGCGGAUCUUUAAGUCAGGGGUGAAAUCCCAAGGCUCAACCUUGGAACUGCCUUUGAUACUGGGGAUCUCGAGUCCGGAAGAGGUGAGUGGAACUGCGAGUGUAGAGGUGAAAUUCGUAGAUAUUCGCAAGAACACCAGUGGCGAAGGCGGCUCACUGGUCCGGUACUGACGCUGAGGAGCGAAAGCAUGGGGAGCGAACAGG